GGGUUCUGGACAGACGUACCCAGUCAGGGAAUGUUUACUUUGCCUCCACUUCUGUUCCUCCCCGCCCUGGUGCUGCUCCGGGUCACAUACUCGUCCUGAGCCGGCUUCAGCCUCUCCGCGCAGAAGUCUCCCGGAGCCGACUUCUGAGAGUCGAGUACUCCUAUGUGAAGACUACCAAGCUCGUGUUCAAGGGAACCAAGGCGAAGAGUAAGAAGAAAAAGAACAAAGAUAAGAAAAGAAAAAGAGAAGAAGAUGAAGAAACCCAGCUUGAUAUGUUGAAUCACCCUGAAAUCUGGCUAUGGAAAAUAUCUUGGUAUAAAUUCAGAUGAACUUGUUGUUGGGCGUUCAGAUGCAAUUGGACCAAGAGAACAAUGGGAACCAGUCUUUAAAAUUGGGAAAAUGGCUUUGUCGACCUCAAAUAGCUGCUUUAUUAGAUACAGUGAAGCAGAGGACAUAGAAGCAAAAAGUAAAACAGCAGGAGAAGAAGAAAUGAUCAAGAUUAGAUCCUGUGCUGAAAGAGAAACCAAGAAAAAAGAUGACAUUCCAGAAGAAGACAAAGGAAAUAUAAAACAAUGUGAAAUCAA
rnacentral:lncRNA from 1 species